rnacentral:rRNA from 1 species
GGACAGAAAGACCCUAUGAAGCUUUACUGUAGCUUAGAAUUGAAUUUAAGUUUUACUUGCGCAGCAUAAGUGGGAGGCUGAGAAAGUAAUUUCGCGGAAUUACUAGAGCCUAUAGUGAGAUACCACUCUAGUAAGACUAGAAUUCUAACUUUGACAGCCUUUAACAGGCCGAAGAACAUUUCUAGGUGGGCAGUUUGACUGGGGCGGUCGCCUCCCAAAAAGUAACGGAGGCGUACAAAGGUUUUCUCAGAUUGGUCAGAAAUCAAUCGUAGAGUAUAAAGGUAAAAGAAAGCUUAACUGCAAGACAUACAAGUCGAGCAGAGACGAAAGUCGGUCUUAGUGAUCCGGCGGUACUGAGUGGAAAGGCCGUCGCUCAACGGAUAAAAGUUACUCUAGGGAUAACAGGCUGA